rfam:Lactobacillus plantarum WCFS1 complete genome
UAAAAAACAGGGAACAGAAGAGUAGUUGUAAGGACCUUGCCGAGCGAGUUAUCGAUGAUGGGAAGAUGACCAAGGAUUACAACGAACCACAUCUGUGAGUUGGACAGCUGAAGUUAGUAAGCUGUUUCGGUUGGCCUCGUUAGCGGCGGAGUUUAGUGAUAAACUCGUUGAGAUUAGUUGUGUGAGCAACUAGUGAAUAUGAGGUGGAACCGCGAUUAAAUCGUCCUCUUA